AACGCUAGCUACAGGCUUAACACAUGCAAGUCGAGGGGUAACGAGAGGAAAGCUUGCUUUCCUUGUCGACGACCGGCGCACGGGUGAGUAACGCGUAUCCAACCUGCCCCCAACUAGGGAAUAACCUUGCGAAAGUAAGACUAAUACCCUAUAAUUUCCUCAGAUGUCAUCUGACGAGGAAUAAAGAUUUAUCGGUUGUGGAUGGGGAUGCGUCUGAUUAGCUUGUUGGCGGGGUAACGGCCCACCAAGGCAACGAUCAGUAGGGGUUCUGAGAGGAAGGUCCCCCACAUUGGAACUGAGACACGGUCCAAACUCCUACGGGAGGCAGCAGUGAGGAAUAUUGGUCAAUGGGCGGAAGCCUGAACCAGCCAAGUAGCGUGCAGGAUGACGGCCCUAUGGGUUGUAAACUGCUUUUAUACAGGAAUAAAGUUAGCCACGUGUGGUUAUUUGUAGGUACUGUAUGAAUAAGGACCGGCUAAUUCCGUGCCAGCAGCCGCGGUAAUACGGAAGGUCCAGGCGUUAUCCGGAUUUAUUGGGUUUAAAGGGAGCGUAGGCCGUCUGUUAAGCGUGUUGUGAAAUGUAGAUGCUCAACAUCUGAAUUGCAGCGCGAACUGGCAGACUUGAGUGUGCGCAACGUGGGCGGAAUUCGUGGUGUAGCGGUGAAAUGCUUAGAUAUCACGAAGAACUCCGAUUGA
rnacentral:rRNA from 1 species